rnacentral:rRNA from 1 species
CCUACGGGUGGCAGCAGUGAGGAAUAUUGGUCAAUGGACGAGAGUCUGAACCAGCCAAGUAGCGUGAAGGAUGACUGCCCUAUGGGUUGUAAACUUCUUUUAUAUGGGAAUAAAACGUUCCACGUGUGGGAUUUUGUAUGUACCAUAUGAAUAAGGAUCGGCUAACUCCGUGCCAGCAGCCGCGGUAAUACGGAGGAUCCGAGCGUUAUCCGGAUUUUUUGGGUUUAAAGGGAGCGUAGGUGGAUUGUUAAGUCAGUUGUGAAAGUUUGCGGCUCAACCGUAAAAUUGCAGUUGAAACUGGCAGUCUUGAGUACAGGAGAAGUGCGCGGAAUGCGUGGUGUAGCGGUGAAAUGCUUAGAUAUCGCGAAGAACUCCGAUUGCGAAGGCAGCUUACUGGCCUGAGACUGACACUGAGGCUCGAAAGUGUGGGGAUCAAACAGGAUUAGAUACCCUUGUAGUC